rnacentral:rRNA from 1 species
UCCAGACUCCUACGGGAGGCAGCAGUGGGGGAUAUUGCACAAUGGGGGAAACCCUGAUGCAGCGACGCCGCGUGGGUGAAGAAGUAUUUCGGUAUGUAAAGCCCUAUCAGCAGGGAAGAAAGAAGACGGUACCUGACUAAGAAGCCCCGGCUAACUACGUGCCAGCAGCCGCGGUAAUACGUAGGGGGCGAGCGUUAUCCGGAUUCACUGGGUGUAAAGGGAGCGUAGACGGCCGUGCAAGCCAGGAGUGAAAGCCCGGGGCCCAACCCCGGGACUGCUCUUGGAACUGUGCGGCUGGAGUGCGGGAGGGGCAGGCGGAAUUCCUGGUGUAGCGGUGAAAUGCGUAGAUAUCAGGAGGAACACCGGCGGCGAAGGCGGCCUGCUGGACCGCGACUGACGUUGAGGCUCGAAAGCGUGGGGAGCGAACAGGAUUAGAUACCCUUGUAUU